rnacentral:rRNA from 1 species
AACGAACGUUAGCGGCGCGCCUAAGACAUGCAAGUCGAGCGAGAAAGGGAUUCGUCCCCGGUAAAGCGGCGCACGGGUGAGUAACACGUAGGUCAUCAACCCCCGAGUGGUGGAUAACCCUCCGAAAGGAGGGCUAAUACAGCAUGAUGUUAGCAAUAACCAAAGCGGGCCUCUUCACGAAAGCUCGCGCUUGGGGAUGAGCCGGCGGCCCAUCAGGUAGUUGGCGGAGUAAUAGCCCACCAAGCCAUAGACGGGUAGCUGGUCUGAGAGGAUGAACAGCCACACUGGAACUGAGACACGGUCCAGACUCCUACGGGAGGCAGCAGUCGGGAAUCUUCCGCAAUGGGCGAAAGCCUGACGGAGCGACGCCGCGUGAGCGAUGAAGGCCUUCGGGUUGUAAAGCUCUGUGGGGAGAGAAGAAUAAGUUCAGGUCAAUACCCUGAAUGAUGACGGUAUCUCCUUAGCAAGCACCGGCUAACUCUGUGCCAGCCGCCGCAGUAAUAC